ensembl:lncRNA
CGGAAUUCUGAGAGUAUACCGAGUUCAGUGAGGACCACAAAAACAACAACGGCGGCUCUAGAAUCUUUAGGCCCUGUCCACACUAACCCGGGCGCCUGAUCAGCUGUAAUAGUUGCAGUUGAUUAGCUGGCUAAUCAUUUUCACUCACAAGCAAAAACAUGACUCAAGCCAAAAGUACAAAGGCAACUCUACCUGUGACGCAUAAUGAGAAGCAGCUGAUACUCAGAGCUGGCCGGGCGCAAGUGGAUGACAGGGGCAUCCAUUUAGCCCUGGGAGGCAAGGGUGGAGGGGGGGACCCAGGCUGCCUCACAAUGGAGAGGAUAGAGGAGGGCAUGAAGAGAAGCCUUGUGCCCUCCAAGACCCCCAGCCCAGCCUCAACAGAAGAA